GUUAGGUUGACCGAGUGGUUAAGGCGCCAGACUUAAGUUCUGGAAUUGUGGGUUCGAACCCCACACCUAGCA